AGGUCGAAGCGAGACGUUUCGUAACGCAACGGGGCAAAGGUUCCGACCCGACGGAAGACGCGACGCGACGCCCAAGCGAGAGAACAUUGAGACCGCACGAGAGGGCGAGGGCGGUGGUGGAUACGCGAUGCAGCAGCUCCAGCACCACCAGAGAUCCACCGGUGGGCCGAAUGCGGCCGGGCCGGCUCCGGGGCCGCCGAGGAGGCGGUGCGAGGGCACGGCCAUGGGCGCCAUAACUCUCGACCUCCGCCCCGGCUUCGGCAUCGGCCCGUUCAACCUUGGUAUGCCAUUACAUGAAGCAUUUGCUCAAGUUGAGCAUCAACCCAACAUAUAUGAUGUGGUCCAUGUGAAGUAUCUUGAUGAGGAGCCUCUAAAGUUGGACAUUGUUAUUAGUUUUCCGGAUCAUGGUUUUCAUCUGCGUUUUGAUCCUUGGUCACAGAGGUUGCGUCUCAUUGAGGUUUAUGAUGUCAAACGGUUACAGACGCGUUAUGCAAAUUCUCUAAUUGGUGGUCCUUCAACAUUAGCCACCUUUGUAGCAGUCUAUGCACUUUUUGGACCCACGUAUCCUGGAACUUAUGACCAAGAUAGAGGAAUUUAUACAUUAUUUUAUCCGGGGUUGUCUUUUGCUUUUCCCAUUCCAAGCCAAUAUACAUAUUGCUGCCAAAAUGGAGAAGUCUCAGCAGAGUUGCCUCUUGAGUUUCCUGAUGGAACAACUCCAGUUGCAUGCCGUGUCUCUGUGUAUGAUGGUUCUUCAGAUAGUAAAGUUGGUGUGGGAUCACUUCUUGACAAAGCUUCAGUUCCUCCGCUGCCUGCUGGCAGUCUAUACAUGGAAGAGGUGCAUGCUAAGCUAGGAGAAGAAUUAUGGUUCACUGUUGGAGGUCAGCACAUUCCUUUUGGUGCAUCACCUCAGGAUGUUUGGACAGAGUUAGGUCGUCCUUGUGGAAUCCACCAAAAGCAGGUUGAUCAAAUGGUUAUCCACUCUGCUUCAGAUCCCCGUCCUCGGACAACUCUUUGUGGAGAUUACUUUUAUAAUUAUUUCUCUCGUGGUCUGGACAUUUUAUUUGAUGGACAGACACAUAAAAUCAAGAAGUUCGUGUUACACACAAAUUUUCCAGGGCAUUCAGACUUCAAUACAUAUAUGAAAUGCAACUUUGUUAUCUAUGACUCUGAUGAUAAAGGAACAAUUCAACCUGGUAAUACUUCUAAAAAUUGCAUCACGCCAAACACAAAAUGGGAACAAGUAAAGGAGAUUCUUGGGGAUGGUGGUCGUGCUGCAAUUCAAACACAAGGUUCAAUGACCAAUCCAUUUGGAUCAACUUUUGUCUAUGGAUACCAAAAUGUGGCAUUCGAGGUUAUGAAGAAUGGUUAUAUAGCUACUGUUACUCUGUUCCAAUCUUAAGAUGAAAUGACUUGUUUGACUUCUAGUUUCAACAUGGGUCCAAUGAUUCCAAAAGAACCACUUUGUGGCCAAGGCGAAUUUGAGAGGAUUACGCUGGGUUUUCACAUGAACUUGAUGGGAAGCUAGCAUGCUCCUCCAUAAUUCGUGCUGUGGAUUCAGUCUUGUAUGGGUGUGUAAUUCUCUGUACAGUGCAAUUAAUUUCUUUUUCAUGACUUGUAUCAUUCUGUAAAUUAAAUAUUCCUUUUUGGAAAAAUUUAUUUGCCCAAUGACUUCAUAUAUAAAUAUUAGUAACCAUCAAACACUAACGAUGGAACAUAAAUUCUUUCCUCC